rnacentral:rRNA from 1 species
UACAGAGGUCUCAACCGUUGUUCGGAUUCAUUGGGCGUAAAGGGUGCGUAGGCGGUCGCGUAAGUCAGGUGUGAAAUCCCGGGGCUCAACCCCGGAACUGCAUUCGAUACUGCCGUGCUUGAGGACUGGAGAGGAGACUGGAAUUUACGGUGUAGCGGUGAAAUGCGUAGAUAUCGUAAGGAAGACCAGUGGCGAAGGCGGGUCUCUGGACAGUUCCUGACGCUGAGGCACGAAGGUCAGGGGAGCAAACGGG